UACGGGGGGGGCAAGCGUUGUUCGGAAUUACUGGGCGUAAAGGGCUCGUAGGCGGCCAACUAAGUCAGACGUGAAAUCCCUCGGCUUAACCGGGGAACUGCGUCUGAUACUGGAUGGCUUGAGAUUGGGAGAGGGAUGCGGAAUUCCAGGUGUAGCGGUGAAAUGCGUAGAUAUCUGGAGGAACACCGGUGGCGAAGGCGGCGUUCUGGACUGCAACUGACACUGAAAAACGAAAGCCAGGGGAGCAAACGGG
rnacentral:rRNA from 1 species